rnacentral:rRNA from 1 species
UUAAUAUCCCAUAAUAUCCAGAAAACGCAUGUUUUCUGGAUUAAAGUUCCGGCGGUUAAAGAUGGGCAUGCGUGGCAUUAGUUAGUUGGUGAGGUAACGGCUCACCAAGGCAAUGAUGCCUAGGGGUCCUGAGAGGGUUUUCCCCCACACUGGUACUGAGACACGGACCAGACUCCUACGGGAGGCAGCAGUAAGGAAUAUUGGGCAAUAGGCGCAAGCCUGACCCAGCCAUGCCGCGUGCAGGAUGACGGCCCUAUGGGUUGUAAACUGCUUUUGUAUGGGAAAAAACUCCCGCACGUGUGCGGGACUGAUUGUACCAUACGAAUAAGCAUCGGCUAACUCCGUGCCAGCAGCCGCGGUAAUACGGAGGAUGCAAGCGUUAUCCGGAUUUAUUGGGUUUAAAGGGUGCGCAGGCGGAUUAGUAAGUCAGUGGUGAAAGCUCCCGGCUCAACCGGGAAAAUGCCAUUGAUACUGUUAAUCUUGAGUACAGUUGAGGUUGGCGGAAUGUAUCAUGUAGCGGCGAAAUGCAUAGAUAUGAUACAGAACACCGAUAGCGAAGGCAGCUUACCAAACUGUAACCGACGCUCAUGCACGAAAGCGUGGGGAGCAAACAGGAUUAGAUACCCUGGUAGUCCACGCUGUAAACUAUGAUCACUCGCUGUUGGCGAUACACUGUCAGCGGCUUAGCGAAAGUGUUAAGUGAUCCACCUGGGGAGUACGAUCGCAAGGUCGAAACUCAAAGGAAUUGACGGGGGCCCGCACAAGCGGGAGGAGCAUGUGGUUUAAUUCGAUGAUACGCGAGGAACCUUACCUGGGCUUAAAUGCAGAACGACCUCCCGAGAAAUCGGGACUUCCUUCGGGACGGACUGCAAGGUGCUGCAUGGUUGUCGUCAGCUCGUGCCGUGAGGUGUCGGGUUAAGUCCCAUAACGAGCGCAACCCUUAUCCUUAGUUGCCAACAGGUAAUGCUGGGAACUCUAAGGAAACUGCCUACGCAAGUAGUGAGGAAGGUGGGGAUGACGUCAAUCUAGCACGGCCCUUAUGUCCAGGGCUACACACGUGCUACAAUGGUCGGUACAGAGGGCAG